GUGCUCGCUUCAGCAGCACAUAUAUUAAAAUUGAAACAAUACACAGAAGAUUAGCAUGGCCCCCGUGCAAGGAUGACACAGAAACUCGUGAAGUGUUCCAUAUUUUU
rnacentral:snRNA from 1 species